CAGACUAAGUCUGUUUUAUGAUUUUUUUGUCCUAUUAUUUUAAUUUAUUUAAUAAAAUAUUGGUAUUUGGUGUCUCUGUAACAUGGAAACGUGGACUGUUAUCUAAUUAGCUUUGCCCUAUAGUGGGAAGUGGACAGUACAGAAUAAAUGCAUGCAGCAAAAUCUAUAAAAAAUAAUGCAGAUAGGUAGCUAUAGAUAGAUAUGUUUACAUAUCAGAUUUAUAUAUUCAUUUUGUCUGAAUUUUUCCUUCAAGUUUUAGAAAGCCAGACAAUGACUGUGCGACGGACUGUGCAGGGUGUACACCACCUUCUACCCUAUGACAGCUGGGAUAGGCUCCAGCACGCCGUGACCCUGGGGAUGUUUGAACGGAUGAACAAGCACACAAUAAAACCUAAAAAUGGAUUUUUAGGUCUAACAAAAUGAUACAUAGAUAAUUUCAGUAGACUCACCCUCUACCCCAUCCACAGGUUAAUGUUUGUUAGCCUAUCAUACAGCGGUCAGGUUAUUUGUACAGCACAAAAAGGACCGAGCCAUGAAUUGUUGGCUCGGACAAUUUUUCCCUUUCUGGCACUCAAAGCAGCAACAGGAGACGUGGAAGGAAGCGAGAUGAGACGGCAUAUGGCGACCAUCAUGAGCCAAACCCCGACUGACAGUGUUGCCGAAACAUGCUGCACACCUACAAUAAUCUGCCGAGCCACAAACUGAUCACUGCUGCCUCUCCGACGUCAAACUACAAACACACAACCCGUCUCCUAAAAGUCCAACAGAUUAACGUAAGAGAAGCACCAUCAGUGGAAAUUUUAACACAUGGAAAAAACAAAGGAUGGAUGGAUUCAGGGGCUAAAAAUACAGCCUGCAGCAGGUGACGUUCAUUUUUUUUUAUGGAUCUAAAUUACCAUAAAAUCCAUGUGGCGGGAGAGGAGAUGAAAGUGAGCCGAUGACAGGAGUAAACAGAGUGUAGAGAGUAGCGCGGGAUGACAAAGGGGAGAUUAACGGAUGAACUUUGAUAAGAUGAAGUGGGGGAAAGGAGCUUUAAGCAGCAGAGUGGGAGGGAAGUUUGGUGCUGUAGUGCUGACAGUUUGAGGCACAUCUCUCUCUCUCUCUCUUUUUUUUGUCUUUUACAUUAAACCUGCCCUGCAGCUUUAACCAUCCACAUUUUUUUAAAGUAACCUGGGAAUAAGCACAUUAGGGCAGCUUGGAUAUAAAGCAAGUGUGUGUUUAAACAGGGAUGAUCCGAACUCUGAAACAGGAGCCGGUUAAUAUUCCACCACUGUUAACAGCGAUUAUUUGCAAGGUGAAAAGGAGAAAUGUGGUCCGGGGGGAGCUCAGGCAUGUAUAAAAAGCUGCAUGGAGACAUCUGUCUGUGUGUAAACCAGGGAAGUGCUGUGACACACAAAGAGGCAAGGGCAGUACCUCCACACGUCGCUGCUCUUGGAGAAGAGGGAGUGCUUGAUGACCUCCGGGGCCAUCCAGGCGUAGGUCCCUGCUGCACUCAUCUUGGUGGUCUGGUGCCACUCUCUGGCCAGACCAAAGUCUGUGAUCUUCAGGGUUUUGCCAUUCAGGUCAUCCCGCUCCACCGGCUGCAGAAUGAGGACUGAGGAUGAGGAGGAAAGAAAGCAGAAGAGAAGAGCUUUUGUUAUAAAAGACCAGGUGUAGCCUGCAUUUGAUAACAGCUGCUUCUGUGUCGCCUCGUCAGCACCCCGAUGCACAUCUCCAACCACCUUCAUCUACCUCCUCAUCCUCCUGCAAGUCCAGAGCUUCUUGUUGUCACUCCGGUAACACCUGAGCACCCUCCCCGCCGCCUGCCUCAGCACAUCAGCAUGACAAAAAAAAUUAAAAAUAAAUAUUACACCAACACAGCAGCAGGCUGAUGUGCAUCAACGCAGACGAAGUACGUGCCCAUGGGAUUACUGAGCAGCCACUUCCCCGCCCCCGCCUGCAGACCCACCCUGUUUCAUCUUCAUUGCUACAAGAUCAAAACCUCACCAACGAAGAAGUGACCGCCCCCUCGUCUUCAUCUUCACAUCAGCUCUUUUCCCCACAGCUCCGGCCCUCUUCCCUCCCCUACUGCUGGUGCCUACUGCUCCACUCUCUGCUUUUGCAGCUGUCGCCAGCCUGACUACCAUCACAGCACGCCGGGGAGAAGAAAUGGAAGAAGAGGUUGGAGAGGGAGUCAAAAACAGAGAGAAAUAGACUGUGUGCGUGCAGAGUAAUGGGUGGAGGGGGCGUAAGACGAUAAGGAAGCAAAGGGGAGGGGGGGGUUAAGAUGAGGAAUGGGGCGGGGGGUAGGGUGGAACAAAGCUGCAGAAAUGAGGGCAAAGGAGGAGAGCGAAGGAGAGAUGGAGGGGAGGAAAGGCACACACACUAUGAGAGAGAGGGAAAUGAGUGGAUGAAAAGAUGAGGGCUACUAAAGGUAAAGAGAGAUGACUGGAGGGAAUGCUUUUGUCAUUAUCCUGGCAGCACAUACCACAUGUCUUUGUAUCUCGAUAGGUCUUUCCCUUUUUUUAAGUUUCUUUUUGGCUUCUCACAUCUCUCACCUCUCAAGAGAUUUGAACCAUAAGACGAUGCACAUCUUUCCGAGCAUGCCCCACAAUAUAUAUGUAAAUUAAACCUCAGAAUAGUUUUUUUUUUUUUUUUUUAAAUAAAGAGAUAAAGCUUCAUGAGACAGUGUGGAAAUGAAGUCUAACUAAAAACUGUUGCAACAGCACAGCAGAUGCGCAUCGAAUCCCUGGAUCUGUUUCCAUUCCCCAGUGCUUUGAUACGGAGGUUGUAGUGAGUAUGCUCCCAUGUCAUCGAUACCCCAGCUUGGCUCCGCUUGUACCACCACAGGCCAUCGAGGCUCCAAUCCUGAGCCGCACAGUGGCACAGUUUCACCCUGCAGCUAUUCACUUUGUCUGCACACAAACGCAGCUGCCAGAUUCGUGUGACCAGGCAGCCUCUCUCUUAGAAGAGAUGGAGGUAUUAAAUGAGGUGGCUUUUUGUGCAUGGAGCCUAUGUAUGUGUGUGUUUGCAUCUUUGAAUGUGUAUGGUAUGAAAAUGGGCGUACUUACAGCACGGGAAUACUCACUGAGAGAUUUGAGCUUUUCUAACUCAUGACUAGUUUUAGCUUUCACAGUUGUUUAGUUAAAAGGCAACAUUUUACUGACAUUAGAUGCAAACAAUUAGCAUUUCUUUCCCCUAACACAGUUAUUACAAACAAGUCAUAGCCAUUCUGCAGUGACAAAGAAUUAACUGGACCUGAAAAGGUUUGAUAGCAGUUAACUUAAAGUAAUAGAUAAGCAGAAAAUAAGAGCCAAAA